rnacentral:lncRNA from 1 species
UGGUAAUGGGAUGGUGUAGUGUAUAAUCCCGCUGCAGAUUUCUAUUCCAAGAGAAGACGUAAUUUAUACCUUGUCUAAUUAGUAAAGAUAUUGCCAUUGUGAGAGUAUGAGAAUUAGUUGUGAUAGAUCAAAUGCCUGCUACUCAUGUGAGUUUAUGGCUGUAAUACUUUCAUGCGUUGUCUACUUAAAACAGGUUUAGCUCUAGGAUUCCCUUUGACUGCCUUGUUACAGAAUGUCAGAGCGAAAUUGUCCUACCUCUCAACUGGUGAUUGUUCUGUAUGGUAACAUGAGCAGUGUGGCCUGACUUCCCCCUUAUUACAGAUGUCCGGUAUAGAUAUGUUGAGCAUCCUGCUAUGAUGUCUAUCACCAAGCUGGAACACUCAGAGGCCAACCCUCAGAGCCAGACUUGCAGUUGUCCGGUGUCUUAGCCUGAGAUGUCUGCUGGCUCAGCUGGGUCUUUGGGAUUGGAAAGGUUAAUGAGGAGGUUCAUCUACCUGAGGAUAGAGGCAUAUCUGUCUGGAAGCUGUUAUUAAUAUUAUUUAUAGAAACAAUUGAGUGGAAUAAUAUUUUUAUCUGCGGCUUGAUUUACAUUGUUAUUGUCUUCUUCCUUAGAUUGACCGGGAUCCAACUCUGCACAGAUGGGUCGACAAAACUGAGCCCAUGUCUGACGUAUACACUUAAAUUCAAUUCAAUUUAAAGCAGUGAAAGACUGUUGUAUUUCAACUGUGAGAAUGGUCCAAAUCAUUUAAAAACAAGCUUGCACCACCACCUCCACCGAUGAGGAUGUAUGGAUAUCAGGGGAACUCUGGUAGUCUCCCCAAAGGAAUGAAUCCUUACUAUAUGAAAGGUGAAUAAUGCUUUAUCUCCAAGACUGUACCAAAGCUGCAUAUCUGGACCCUGCUUGCACUUGCUAUAGCUUACAUUAUGGCAAUUAAGGUCAAAGUGAUUAAACUGCUAAGUACUUUUUGUGGGAUAGGAAAAAACCCAGGAUUAAUAUGAAGAAGAUGUGCUCACCAAGGGAUGUAGGAGGCUUGGCUUUACCAGAUGUUAAAUUGUCCAAUUUACCAUUUGAAAUGGCUAAAUUGGUGAAGCAAUGGGGCAAAAUGGGUGCUGGCUUGGAUUGGAUAACAAUAGAACGGGAACUAAGUUAUCCUUCCACCCCUGUUGAUACUCUGUUACAUAGUCUUUACAGGGGAGAGGUCUGUUGAUACUCUGUUACAUAGUCUUACAGGGGAGAGGUCUGUUGAUACUCUGUUACAUAGUCUUACAGGGGAGAGGUCUGUUGAUACUCUGUUACAUAGUCUUACAGGGGAGAGGUCUGUUGAUACUCUGUUACAUAGUCUAACAGGGGAGAGGUCUGUUGAUACUCUGUUACAUAGUCUUUACAGGGGAGAGGUCUGUUGAUACUCUGGUACAUAGUCUUUACAGGGGAGAGGUCUGUUGAUACUCUGUUACAUAGUCUAACAGGGGAGAGGUCUGUUGAUACUCUGUUACAUAGUCUUCCAGGGGAGAGGUCUGUUGAUACUCUGUUACAUAGUCUUACAGGGGAGAGGUCUGUUGAUACUCUGUUACAUAGUCUUACAGGGGAGAGGUCUGUUGAUACUCUGUUACAUAGUCUUUACAGGGGAGAGGUCUGUUGAUACUCUGGUACAUAGUCUUACAGGGGAGAGGUCUGUUGAUACUCUGUUACAUAGUCUAACAGGGGAGAGGUCUGUUGAUACUCUGUUACAUAGUCUAACAGGGGAGAGGUCUGUUGAUACUCUGUUACAUAGUCUAACAGGGGAGAGGUCUGUUGAUACUCUGUUACAUAGUCUUACAGGGGAGAGGUCUGUUGAUACUCUGUUACAUAGUCUUUACAGGGGAGAGGUCUGUUGAUACUCUGGUACA